UGGGGAAUAUUGCACAAUGGGGGAAACCCUGAUGCAGCUAUGCCGCGUGUGUGAAGAAGGUCUUCGGAUUGUAAAGCACUUUCAGCAAGGAAGAAAGCAAACAUGCUAAUACCAUAUUUGUGUGACGUUACUUGCAAAAGAAGCACCGGCUAACUCCGUGCCAGCAGCCGCGGUAAUACGGAGGGUGCGAGCGUUAAUCGGAAUUACUGGGCGUAAAGCGUACGCAGGCGGCUUAUUAAGUCAGAUGUGAAAUCCCCGGGCUUAACCUAGGAACUGCAUUUGAAACUAAUAAACUAGAGUAUCGUAGAGGGAGGUAGAAUUCCAGGUGUAGCGGUGAAAUGCGUAGAUAUCUGGAGGAAUACCAGUGGCGAAGGCGACCUCCUGGACGAUAACUGACGCUCAGGUACGAAAGCGUGGGGAGCAAACA
rnacentral:rRNA from 1 species